GCACUGCUGAGGAAUCCCACAACAGGACGAAACGACCGUCCAGUGA
rnacentral:hammerhead_ribozyme from 1 species